rnacentral:rRNA from 1 species
GUGCCAGCAGCCGCGGUAACACCGGCAGCUCGAGUGGUAGCCGCGUUUAUUGGGCCUAAAGCGUCCGUAGCCGGUCCGAUAAGUCUCUGGUGAAAGCCCACAGCUUAACUGUGGGAAUCGCUGGAGAUACUAUCGGACUUGAGGCCGGGAGAGGCUGGAGGUACUCCCAGGGUAGGGGUGAAAUCCUAUAAUCCUGGGAGGACCACCUGUGGCGAAGGCGUCCAGCUGGAACGGACCUGACGGUGAGGGACGAAAGCCAGGGGCGCGAACCGGAUUAGAUACCCGGGUAGUCCUGGCCGUAAACGAUGCGGACUUGGUGUUGGGACGGCUUUGAGCUGUCCCAGUGCCGAAGGGAAGCUGUUAAGUCCGCCGCCUGGGAAGUACGGCCGCAAGGCUGAA